GUCAGAAUGGUCGAGUGGUCUAAGACGCUACGUUCAGGUCGUAGUCCGCGAGGGCGUGGGUUCGAAUCCCACUUCUGACA
rfam:Colinus virginianus strain Texas jcf7180006021468, whole genome shotgun sequence.